GGGGGACCUUCGGGCCUCUUGCCAUCGGAUGUGCCCAGAUGGGAUUAGCUAGUAGGUGGGGUAACGGCUCACCUAGGCGACGAUCCCUAGCUGGUCUGAGAGGAUGACCAGCCACACUGGAACUGAGACACGGUCCAGACUCCUACGGGAGGCAGCAGUGGGGAAUAUUGCACAAUGGGCGCAAGCCUGAUGCAGCCAUGCCGCGUGUAUGAAGAAGGCCUUCGGGUUGUAAAGUACUUUCAGCGAGGAGGAAGGCGUUGUGGUUAAUAACCGCAACGAUUGACGUUACUCGCAGAAGAAGCACCGGCUAACUCCGUGCCAGCAGCCGCGGUAAUACGGAGGGUGCAAGCGUUAAUCGGAAUUACUGGGCGUAAAGCGCACGCAGGCGGUCUGUCAAGUCGGAUGUGAAAUCCCCGGGCUCAACCUGGGAACUGCAUUCGAAACUGGCAGGCUAGAGUCUUGUAGAGGGGGGUAGAAUUCCAGGUGUAGCGGUGAAAUGCGUAGAGAUCUGGAGGAAUACCGGUGGCGAAGGCGGCCCCCUGGACAAAGACUGACGCUCAGGUGCGAAAGCGUGGGGAGCAAACAGG
rnacentral:rRNA from 1 species